UGCAGCUACCCUGAGGGAAAAUGUCAACAUUGUGAUGAAAAGAGUGCUCACAAAUAGCCUCAUGUCUAUACUGAACAUGGAUGGGACUGGUGACAAGCUGCCUUUCAGAAGAAUUGAACUUUAUAAGGUCGCAAUAGGUGCCAUCUAGAAGUAACAACCCGGCAUCACAGAAGCUUCCAUUGGUAGCCUUACGGCCAACCAUUUGCUCGCUACACCAGAUGAAGAG